rnacentral:lncRNA from 1 species
UACUUUUAAUUUUUUGACUUUUAUUUCACCAACUAUUCUUAAUUUAAGGAUCUUGUUGAAAAAAAAGUAGAAGUGAAUUUACCAUUUUUUUCCUUUUUAAAUAUACUAAACACAUACACACACUAACAUAUAUACACAAAAAAUGUCAGCACUAUCUACUCUCAUCUCUCUCUACCCUUUCUCUCUCUAAGCUCCCUCCACUCUCUCCUCCUCUCCAUGGAAAUAGCCAUGGCUGUCGACGGCCAUCCCAUCGCCGGCGAACCCUUCACCUCUUUUUUUCAUUCCAUCACAAACACUACCACCACCGCACCACCAUAACUCCAUCUCCCACAACCCACUAUUAAUCUUGUCUUUGUUCUCAACUUGUGAUAUGCUAUUUAGAUCUCUUAGUUGUCUCUAUUCUUGACUUUUGUAAUGUUAAAGUUCUUAUGUUAGCAAAUAUCAAUCGCCCAAAGUUCUUGAGUUUAAUUCUAUAUAUUCAUGUUUUUGUGCUUUGUGUCGAUCUACUUUUUUAUUUGAAGAUUCAAUUUUUUUUCUACUUUGUGUUUGCAAACUCAAUCACUCAUUUUCUUUUGGAAUGAUUGUGUUUGAAAUUAACAGAUCUAGUUUUCUUUCAUUGGUAUGUUUCUUUGUUUUGUUUAGAUCUAAUGUUGUGUAUUUUAAAAUUUAUUAUAUUAAUCUGUACGUAUGCAUGUUUCUUUGUUUCCUGCUAUUUGUUUUGUUUAUUUGAAG